AAUAAUAAAUAUUAAUGAAUAAUUAGAAAUAUUCUGAUUUUUCCUCAGAGGCUCGGGACGCCCAAAUCCGUGAGUACCCCCGGGAAUUUUGGGAAUUUUGGGGGAUUUUGGGAAUUUUUGGGGGUUUUGGGGGAUUUUGGGGGUUUUUGGGAUGAAAGAAGCAAAAAUAAAUUGAUUUUCCAUAUUUAUUUUUUAAUUUUUUAAGCAAUUAUUUCCGGUUAUUUAUUUUCCCAAUAUGAAAUUUAAUUUCCGUCGGAAUUUUUGCCGUUUUUGUGGAAUUAUUUCCAUUUUAGGUGUUUUUUUUUUAAUAAUGAUUUAUGGUAAUAAUUUUAUUUUUUUUAGGGGAAAAUGAAGCUGAGAUCGGUACGUCAGAUUUGGGUUUAUAUUUAUAUUUAUAUUUAUAUUUAUAUUUAUAUUUAUAUUUAUAUCAAUAUUUAUAUUUAUAUUUAUAUUUAUAUUUAUAUUUAUAUUUAUAUUUAAUGCUAUCAAUAAAUUUGGGUUUUUUACUUUGAAUUUUACUUUAAAUUUUAGUUUUAAUUUUAAUUCCAAUUUUACUUUUCAUUUUACAUUUUAAAUUAAUUUUUAAUUUUACUUUUGAUUUUAAUUUCAAUUUUAAUUUCAAUUUUACUUUUGCUUUUAAUUUUAAUUUUUGAUUUUAAUUUUAAUUUCAAUUUUACUUUUGCUUUUAAUUUUAAUUUUUAAUUUUAAUUUUAAUUUUAAUUUUAAUUUUAAUUUUAAUUUCUUUCUGCUUCCCCCAGGCUACCUGAAGGAGCUGCUGGGAGAAAGGGACUCUGUUAUCCGAAAAAUGAGGGAGGAGCUCGAGGCGCUGAAGGAUUUUGACGGACUCCCCGAGGAGGAAGAGGAAGAGGAAAUGGAGGAGGAAGAGGAAGAGGAAAAACAGGAAGAGGAAGAGGCGGAAGAGGAAGAGGAAGAGGCGGAACAGGAAGAGGAAGAGGCAGAAGAGGAAGAGGAAGAGGAAGAACAGGAAGAGGAAAUAAAUGAGGAGGAAGAGGAAGAAGAAAAAGAGGAAGUGGAGGAGGAAAUGGAGGAAGAGGAAGAGGAAGAGGAGGAAAAAGAGGAGGAAGAGGAGGAGGAAAAACAGGAAAAGGAAGUGGAGGAAGAGGAAGUGGGUCAGUCCAAAAAUAAAGGAAAAAUGAAAUUAUAAAAACAACAACAGUAAUAAUUAUAAUAAUAAAAUUGAAAAUUAAAAUCAAAUUUUAUAUAAUAAUAAUAAUAAUAAUAAUUAAAAACAUCAGUAACAAUCAUAAUAAUAAAAAUGAAAAUUAAAAUCAAAAUUUAAAAUAAAAUAAAAUAUAAUAA
rnacentral:lncRNA from 1 species